UUGUGGGCCUUUGCAACCCAGGACAUUCUGUGGUUCUAUGAUUAUUUAUAAAUCACACAAACCAGCAUUUGGGAAACAGAAAAAUAAAUUGCAUGUAGAAAUGUUCCAUUUCUCUGAUGAGAAAGGAAGGCUGUAUCCCACAGGUAUUGUGCUGACCCCUUGCAGGCAGAAGGGACUGACACUGCAGUCCUUUCACAAAUGUGUGCUUCCUGAUGAAUGAAUAUGAGCAGAAAAGAGAAUUAGGGAACUGACAACCUAGCACCAGCAGUGUUAAUUUGCUACAGUUUUAUCAUUUCCUUGUGAGAAACUUCAUAUAUCUUUAUCGUUCCUUCUCCGAACAGAGCUCUAUAGCUUCUGAUAUUCUACUCAGUGAACUGAAAUAUCUCUCAAUAUAAAAGAAUCUUCUUCUAACAGCACUGGGAACCAUUACGGUAUAUUGUUAUGUACACUGGUAUUACCCAAGGAAAUAUUCAGAGGUUGGAAAAACAGACAUUUUUAGAGAGAGUGGAAAACACAACUUCUAAAUUAAAAUUACAGCUUUUCUUGAUUUAAUUCAAUCUGGUGUUUCAUCUUCUAACUGAAGCCCCAUAUGUGGAUGGAAGAAUCGUAAAAUCACAGAACGGCCUGGGUUGCAAAGGACCACAGUGCUCAUCCAGUUCCAACCCCCUGCUAUGUGCAGGGUCGCCAACCAGCAGACCAGGCUGCCCAGAGCCACAUCCAGCCUGGCCUUGAACCCCUUAUUGAGAAAGAAGGGAAAGAAAGCACUGUGGGCUGUGGGAGUCACCCACAUCAUUCCUGUCUCCAAUGCUGGGCACUGAAAGCACAGCCAUCCCUAUGGCCAGAACCAGCUGGGAGCUGCAUGGCCAUCGGGGCCACGAUGCCAUUCAUUGGGGUAGAAACAGUGUUUGCAAUUUGGAUUCUGCUGCCUGUGAUAACAUGGCACGCACUCCUUUCAUCCUCCUUUUAUUCCGCCUCAUGCGUUUCCUGGUUUAUUGGGUCAUUGAGUUGGUUCCUGAGUUUAACAACCACCAGUGCUGCGUGUGCUGUAAAUAGGAGAGCUUUGCAGAGCAGAUAGCUGUGGUGUGGGGCUGCUGAUACAGGGCACGUAUGCUUAUUGCUGCUGGAGCCUCAGCCUGGGAAAGCCCAGAAAUUAUCAUUUUGAGCAAUGCUUCUUUCCUCCCAUCUUAUUUACAGUGCAUGGUUCACUGGUUAAAACUGUUAGAGCUGAAAUUGCUACAGGAACUCAACCUCAAAUAUGUUCCAAGUCAUUCCCUGAAUGAGGAGGAGAACCCUCGCAAUAACCACGAGAAGUUCAUCUCAAGGCAUCUUCUGGAAAACACGCUGUUAUCUGGCAGUACUGCAAAGUGUGUGCACAAAAUGCCAUCAUCCACGCUGCCAGCUGAUUUAAUAUCAGCAUUUUCUGUUUUCUGCCCUAUUCCUGUGAAGGACUGUAAGUCGUAGAAUCAUAGAAUGGCCUGGGUUGAGAAGAGCCAUAGUGAUCAUCUAGUUUCAGACAAGUAUGUGUGUGUCUGUCUGCCCAGCACGGCCAUGGGGGAAUCCCUGCUGGUGGGUGCUGCCGUGGGGCCACAGCCAUUGCCCAGAGGACAAACUGAGCACUGUUCCCAUUCCUCCCCUCUGUUAGGCAGAGAUAAUUGCACCCCUGUGUCACAGCCAGCGUGGAGAUGUGCUGAGAACCACCUGGGAAGUGUUCUGCUUGGGAAGCCCUGCAAAGACUCACUGGAUCGUAGAGCUGCAAUUAUUCUGGAUCUAUGGUCUUUUUGAGAUAAAAUUUAAUAUUUAAUGCUCUGCAGAUUAAUAUUAUUACAUAUGACGCUGUAGCAAUAUAUAUGAUUGCUUGCAGCAACACAUUAACGGAGCAUUAAAGCAGAAGGGGAUUUAAGCGGGCAUUUAAAUGGAGGUGACUCUUAAAUGCUCGGGUGGGUGACCUGAACUUUUCGGGUUUAACAUAUCUUAAACCACUGAAGUACACUUGAAAUGAGCAAUUUAAUACAUUUGCUCUUUCCAGCUUCUCCGGGAGCAGUGGCAAAACCUUACACUGAGGACUAGUUCUGAUUUGUGGAGGAUAUGGAAGAGAAGGUAAGCACAUCCCAGCAGGUCCAUGUUUUUUUUUAACCAACAUCACCAUAGAGUCAUGGAAUCAUAGAGCCACAGUCUCACCUAAGUCAGCCUGUUUGUCCAGUAUGAGCAGCCUAUUCUAUAUGAGAAGCUACUGGAGUCACCAGCGCAUAGGAAGCAGCAGCAGCAGCCCUCAUACGAACCUGCUGCUGGGGGUUGGGUUUUGUGUUUUGGACAAUGCUGCCAGCUGCUCUCUUUGUCAUUGGAAAUAAAGGUAAAUCCAAGGUGCAGGAAGUUAGACUCCCUAAGUCCCACCUGCAUAUGUGCACCCAUAUAGAGAACUCAAGAAUGAGCAGACAGAACAGACGUCUCCAGGCCCAUUCUCCAGACCUUUGCUAGGGCAGCAGUGCUGCUAUGUACCCCCAUGGGACCACCUAGAUGUGUGGCAUUGUGCCCACCACGUCCCAGCACUGGGAUGUAAAUGCUCUGCCUGCUGCAGGCGCAGCACCUGCAAUGGGGAUAGAAUGCACUGCCAGGUCCUGCCCUGCUGCCAGGGACACACAGCCCUGUGCUGUACUAAGCUGCAAGGACCCACUUCCACCGAUACUGCUCGGUCUCUAUUGAAUGCACACUAUGGAAUUUAAUCAGUGAAAUGAAUUUGCUAAUGAACUUGUUAAUGAGCUUGCCAUAUCUCAUAUUGUUCAUUUCUUCUGUUCUUUUUCUUUUUUAGUGGGAAGAAAGAAAGCUGCUGCUGUUUGGCGGCUUGUUGUUUGGGGUUUUUUUCUUCUUCGCUUUAGGCAAAUGAAAGGAAUAAGUUCACUUAUGAUUGCUUUCAUGUAAAGAAAAGUUAAUAGAAAUUUUAAUAACAGUAGCAGCUUAGGAGAGUUUGAGGCCAUGACACGUGCAGUGCAAUGGAGGCAGCUCCUGCAGCAGGCUGCAGCUGCCCAUUGCUAUAGCUCUGCUUGGGGCACAGGGGGAGAGCUCCGGGAGAAUUCAGAAGGGUUCAUUCUGCCCUGGUUUUGUGCAGCCCUGCGUGCCCAUUGCAUACACAGAACACCAUGUAGCAGCAGUGUGACCAUUAGUCACUAUGUCAAUGUACAUAAAAAGGAACAGGCUCAGUAAUAUAUAUGAUGAACUUUUACUGAUUGUCGUAUGUGCCCUUCUGAGCUCUUUCCCUCUGGGAUCCACAGCAUCAGCGCUUCCUUCCCUUUCUCUUGGGCAGCAGCAGCAGCAUUUCUGUCCUGCUGGUACUGCAGGCACCAUGGCUGUUUGCUUUUCCUGCCAGGCAGCAAGCCAGCACUGAGGUCAGACUAUUCCCAGGAUGGAUGCAAGGUCCUGGUGUCAGCACUGCUCACAUCAGUGUUGCAUACAUCAGCUCAACUCCUGCAGCCUCCUGUGCCUUCUGAGCCUCCCAUGCAUUGAGGCCACCACCUCCCAUGAGGAUGAAGGGGAGGAAGAGUGGGGUGCAACCAUGCACGCCCCAUUGGCAGAAGCACCUGGGGGUCUUCACUGACCAACACUGUGAAGGGCACUGUUAUUGUGUGUGCACUGUCCUUGUAGACUCACCUCAGCAGUGAUCUCACACCACUGUGCACUUUCCUGGCACACUGACAAUCCCAGUGAGCAGCUGCAGUUCCAUGGUGGCUACAUUAAGAAUGUGACUUCUACAGCCAUCACUGCGGCCAUCAGCAGUGGAUGUCUGCCGUGCAAAGGGACGUGCGUGCCAACAGCAAGCACCUGGGCAUGGAAAGCUGGUUGCUGUUACUGUAAGUGAACCCUUCAGUUUGUAAGUGUGAGGAAACUGGAGAAGUUUAUGAAAGAAGAAAAAGGAUGGGGUACCGGGAGACAAAAGACUCAUCGCCUUGCAGGAAAGGCUUGAAUACAGGAGAAGAGGAGAUGGAUUGGAGCUCGUUUUGAAGGCAGAAGGAGCCAUCCCCAAGUCAGCUUCCUGCACUUCCAGUGACAUUUAUAGAAGUGAACAGAGAUUCCACUGAUUUCACUUUUGACCAUCAGCCUGAACGCGUCCUCCCAACUGGAAAGGCUUUUUUCACCUUGAUGAUCCUUGAGGUCCCUUCCAACCCGAGCCGUUCCAUGAUUCUGUGAUUCACCGACUGCAUCACAUCCAAUAAGGAAUCCCAGUGCAGCGCUGAAGCAACCCUCCUUCAUCUUCAUGUAAGUAAAACAAGGUGUUGUGCUAUUUGGACAUCAAUUUCUUAUCAUUGUUGCUGUGAAAACUGGUGAAAAAUGGGUGUUACCAGCAUACCUCACACCGUAAUUUUCUGCCUGUGGUGUUUAUCUCUUGCUGCUCAUUGCAUCUACCUAAUUCCUCUUUAUUGCCACCAGCAAAGCAAAGCUAAUAUUGAGAUUCUUAGCAGCAAAUACGGGAGGCAAAAUAUAAACGCUUUCUUGUGACUCAUAAAUUGCCCUUUUUAUAGUCAGAGCAACAAAGACUUGGGCACUCUUAUCGGGAACAUGCACAUUGUACGCUGCCAGCAGCGCUGCCAACUAUCAGUAACGACACUGCAGAGCACGGACCUGAGAAAUACGCUGAAGAAAUCCCACCAAUGAUCUGCUGUAAAUUGCUUACAACCCACAGUUUGUGCUGCAGGGCAUGGGAGCACUGUGCAGUUACAUCCCAUCCCAUCCCGGGGAAUAACAGUGGGGUUUGGGAGGUGCUUCAGCGCUUGGUUCUCUGAGAUUUCAGCUUCAGCCCGUGUUUCUUCACAUCUAAGCCUGCUUUUCUAUUUAUUAUUAUUAUCAAACUUGAUAAUCUGAGAAAAAAAAUAUGAAAUACUAUCAAUUUGUGAUGGGUUUUGGAGGACUUUCAUCUUCAGAGCACAUUUUCAGCGUAUCACUGUAAAUUUCACUGUUGUGUGGGGAACACUUUGUGGCACAUAGCUUCAGUUCCUGUGUUUUACACUGAUCACAGAAUCACAGAAUGGUUUGGGUUGGAAGGGACCUCAAGGAUCAGGAAGCUCCAACCCCCCCGCCACAUGCAGGGCCACCAACCUCCACAUUUCAUACCAGCCCAGGCUGCC